rnacentral:rRNA from 1 species
CCUACGGGUGGCUGCAGUAGGGAAUCUUCCACAAUGGGCGAAAGCCUGAUGGAGCAACGCCGCGUGGGUGAAGAAGGUCUUCUGAUCGUAAAACCCUGUUGUUAGAGAAGAAAGUUCGUGAGAGUAACUGUUCACGUUUCGACGGUAUCUAUCCAGAAAGCCACGGCUAACUCCGUGCCAGCAGCCGCGGUAAUACGGAGGUGGCAAGCGUUAUCCGGAUUUAUUGGGUGUAAAGGGAACGCAGGCGGUCUUUUAAGUUUGAUGUGAAAGUCUUCGGCUUAACCGGAGGAGUGCAUUGGAAACUGGGAGACUUGAGUGCAGAAGAGGAGAGUGGAACUCCAUGGGUAGCGGUGAAAUGCGUAGAUAUCUGGAAGAACUCCAGUGGCGAAAGCGGCUCUCUGGACUGUAACUGACGCUGAGGUUCGAAAGCGUGGGUAGCAAACAGGAUUAGAUACCCGGGUAGUC